rnacentral:rRNA from 1 species
GUAGGGAAUAUUAGAAAUGGACGAAAGUCUGAUCUAGCAACACCGCGUGUGCGAAGAAGGCCUUCGGGUCGUAAAGCACUUUUUGGAAGGAAUAGGAAGGAAUGUACUUCCAGAAUAAGUCUCGGCUAACUACGUGCCAGCAGCCGCGGUAACACGUAGGAGGCAAACGUUAUCCGGAUUUACUGGGCGUAAAGCGCGUGUAGGUGGUACUGUAAGUAGGGCGUGAAAGCUCCUGGCUCAACUGGGAGAGGCCGUUCUAAACUACAGAACUAGAGGAUGGUAGAGGGAGGUGGAAUUCCAGGUGUAGCGGUGGAAUGCGCAGAUAUCUGGAGGAACACCGGUGGCGAAGGCGGCCUCCUGGACCAUUCCUGACACUCAGACGCGAAAGCUAGGGUAGCAAACGGGAUUAGAUACCCCGGUAGUCC